GUAUUGCUUUGGCAAUACAUAUACUAAAAUUGGAACGAUACAGAGAAGAUUAGUAUGGCCCCUGCGCAUGGAUGACACGCAAAUUCAUGAAGCAUUCCUCAUUUUU